AUUUGUUUGCAAUUAUGUAUACUAUCAUUCCUUGCGGUUUGCGGAGCAGAAUGGAAUUAAAUCACUAUUUGUACAUGUUCCCCUGUUCUUGACUAUUAAUAAGGAGACUCAAAUGCAAUUUGCUGCUGCUUUAUUGGAGUUACUUGCCUCUUUAUAUUAGAUCUUAUGCUGUCUUCUCAAAAUGUUUAUUGCUGGAGCAAUAUUUGAAAUGCAAUUUGCUGCUGCUUUAUUGGAGUUACUUGCCUCUUUAUAUUAGAUCUUAUGCUGUCUUCUCAAAAUGUUUAUUGCUGGAGCAAUAUUUGAAUAUGGACGUAAGAGUCUGUGGAGUACCUUAAAUAAAAAGUAAAUGCAAAUUGUAAAAUUUAUC
rnacentral:lncRNA from 1 species